rnacentral:lncRNA from 1 species
GAAACCACGGCAUGGAGACGGAAUGAUGCAGACUCCUAUCCGCGAGAUACCUGCUGUAAUUUCGCUGUGGUUCGUGAGGACGCGUCCUGGGCUGCCCUGAGAAGCCUACGUCUCCCCUUCGAGGCCCGGGAAGACCUCCAACCCCGCUGACAAUGCUGGGCCCUCAGCCAGACCUGCCCUGCGUGCCACGUUCUGUUCUAAGAUCGGGCUGCCGAGCUGUGGCCUGGAGGAAACCUGGCAGGUGGGGCUGCCAUGAGCAGCAAGCUCAGUCCAGAAGAACAGUUCCUCUCCAGGAUCCACUUCCUGCGCACUUUUAUGUGCAGUGUAGCUGGAGCAGAGCUCCCCGGAAUUCCACAGGCAACUGAGAACGGAGAGGGAUGCAGGCCAGCCAGGGAUCCAGCGUCUUCCCCAUCGUCACUCUCCAUGGCCUCCGUCUACACACAGUGUUCGUCUGCACAGCUUGUCAGCGCGUUAUCAUGACUUCUAUUUGGCACCGGCCCGUCUGUCCACUGUCCUGGCUUGUUCCAAGCGCU